AAUUCUAACACAGACCUAGAUAUUCAAUCCUUUUUUUUUUUAAAUUAAAAUAAUGAGAAAAAAAAAAAAAGAUUUAAGGACUGACUGUUGUCUUUUGAACAAUUUAGGUUGUGAAGAGUAACAAAAACUCUUUUAUUGUAAAUAAACCUAAUAACUCCCUACUAAAGUAGGUUUUGGAAAUGCUACAACUACAAUAUAACUAGACAUACUUCAAUUAGCAUUAAUUAAGAAAAGUUACACAUGAAUUUUGACACACACCCACAAAAUCCAAGUGAAUGAGGUCUACUCAAGCAGAUAAGUGAUUAGUUUGAGCAAUUAAAUAGUACUAGUUGUCAAUAAUGAGUUUUCUGAAUACAUAUGCAUAUGCCACUAAAUGUAUGGUGUAGAUAUAUUUAUAUAUAAUUUAAAUCACUGUAUAGUGUUUAGAAUGAAUACAUUUAUAAUUGAUGUAAACAUUAAACAAAACUAGAAAAAUACUAGAGCUGGAUUACAGUCAUUGAAGUAUUGCAAUUGUUUCAUUUAUUACUAUUAUUAUUUAUAAGCUUCUGAAUUCAAUGAAAAGAUGAUAGAAUUCAGACCACAUUUCAAUAAGUACUUGUGUUUAGACAUAAUAAUAAUGAUACAGGCAGGAAAUAAAAUAAGACUAAGAUAAAGAGAACAUAUAACUAUUAUGUCAUAAGUAAAAAGACCCAAAGGCUGAAUGAGAGUUC